AAAAAAAAAAAGAAAAAAAAGAGUGUCAGAAUCAGCUACAGAAAAUUACAGGUAGCUGAGCGAAUACCAGCUAAUAUUUUCAUUAGCGAGGAGAGGUUAGGUUUGUUAAGUGGGAUGGCACAAUAAAUAUCUUACGGAUGUGCAGUAUUCGCCUCGUUUAAUUACACAAUAGUCGUGUUGCGUGCUUGCUUAUUAACUUACGCUACGUUACUCCUUCUCUGUAGAUCUCGAGAUAUACAUGUACUUCAUUUAUUCCAACCUUGUCGAGGCAAAGGCUACGAAUGGUAAUCCAACGACGAGGUGCAUUUUGACGAUUUCUUGUCAAACCGAAAGUUUGAACUGGCAAACGUUUGACGUGUAUUCAAGGAAAUUACGCUUUAAUUGAGAAGAUACGCGAUAUAAUUCGAAAUGUUCAAUAUCGAUGUGUUUUGAUUUGAUUAAACGAAAUUAGCGCUCACCCUAAUUAUGCUGGACUUUCCCACCCUGGGUGCACCGAGAAACACAACUUUGACACGAUCCAGAGUGUCUGCGGGGCUUUCCUCCUCUUUCGAUCCGCUUUCGGCGUUUUCACAAGUUAUUGUCUCGCCUCCUCUCCUUUCCAAGUAAUCCAGAUCGAGUUCUACGAACCAUUUGUACAAUAUGUAUCUUCGAAAUCUAACAUACGAGAUAGAAAUUUUGUUUAUAAAAUUAUCCUUUACGAGAAAUUA